AAUUAUGGAUCAUAUGUGCAUGAGGGGGAGACAUAUUCAUGUUGCACUCUUUUUCCCUUAGUUCAGGUUUUGUCCCAAUGGGUUUUCCUGGCAAGGUUUUUAACGAGGCAACUUGCAAAUAAUUAUGAAUAUGAAAUAUAUAUUGUACUCUUUUCCCUAGCUCAGAUUUUGUCCUACUGGGUUUUUCUGGCAAGAUUUUUAACGAGGCAACUAUAAAUCAUGUUAACAUACUUGCAUUUUAUGAAGCAAGUAGAGAAUGUCUGUGAGUGAGAUCAUUGGCAUAGCAUAUUCGGGAAACAUAUGAAUUGCACUCAAUAAAGAAGUAUCAACCCAAGCAAUUCUCUAUGGAUAAUACUGCUUGCAUCGUUCAACUAAAAGGAGGUACAUUGAAGGAGAUAGAGUUAGAACACAUUCACGAAAUUCUUCUUUAUACGCUUCAAGAAAAUGCAUAUUGGUGUUCAACAUAUUCAAUCAAGUGUCAAUCUUACAAACUUAUUCACAAAGUUAUUACCAACAUCAACAUUUGAGAAGACGGCAGACAAGAUCGAAAUUCGUCGAUUAGAAGAUCUCCACAAAUGCCUAACUGAGGGGGAGUUAGUUUACACUAUACUCUUUUUCCUUUGUUCAAGUUUUCAGCAAGAUUUUUAAUAAGGCAGUUAUUAUGGACAUCCAAGGGGGAGUGUUAUAAAUAUUAAUAAUUAUGUGGAUGUCCAAAUCUUUUAUUUAUUACCAUGAAUUGUAAUCAACAUUCCUCUUUUCCUUAGUUUCCCUUUUUCUUAGUUUCUUAAUAUCUCACUCUUGUAUUUGUAUAAAUAGGGGUUCACCCCAUUGGAAUAAACAACUCAGAAAUUCUCAUUCACUUUCUCUUUCUCUCUUCAUCUUUUUCUUCUUUCUUCUCAUCUACUUUAUAUUAUAUUAUAUUAUUUUAUAACAUAAUUUUCUUUUUCAUAAAACUCCCCUCUUUGCAUGUAAAAAAAAUAUGUUUCUCUCUCUCCUUUAUCCUUGUGUCUCUAUUACUAUAAGGCAUAAGAUCUUGUUUAGUGCUUCACUAGCAAAACCCACCUCCUAAACUCUUUCACUUCCUCUCUUCUUUUCCUUCUCUCUCUCUCUCUCUCUCUCUCUCUCUCUCUCUCUCUCUCUCUCUCUCUCUCUCUCUCUCUCUCUCUCUAUACGUUUCUUUUUUUUUUUCUUCUUGACUGUCCUUUUCCUGUAGCACAAAUAUUUUUCUAUCUCAACCUUUUCUCCAUCUAUAUAUAAGGGGUUUAAAAGAAAAACUUAAUUUGACAUUGAGUUUUCUUUAGAUCAGUGAAGAUAGACAAGCAUAUAUAUAAAAGAUGCAAACAGCCGAAAGAAAGUUCAAAAGUCUCCCAAAUCUGAUAAGGUUUUUUUUCUAUUGUUCUUGUGUUGUUUUACGAGUUUUUUCAAGUUGAUUAUAUUUCCUAUUUUUUUUUUCUUGCAUGUUUUUUUUUUGUUAGUCUUAUUUUAUAGUUUUCUGUUUGUUGCAAACAGCCGAAAGAAAGUUCAAAAGUCUCCCAAAUCUGAUAAGGGAAAGAGUAAAUACCAAGUGAAGAUUGUUCAAUCAACUGAUCUGUUCGAAGACAUAAUUAGGAAAAGGGUUGUCGAGAUUUUAUGGUUUUUUCCUGGUGUUUCUAUGAUUCUGGUGUUGAUUUGUCCGUCCCCAACCACGAAGGAGGUGCCGUUUGUGCUUUAUUACUGUUAACAGUAUAAAAAUAAAUAUUUUAGGUUUGGACAGUAUGAAAGAAAAAAAAAAGGGGUUUGGACAGUAAAAAAGAAAUUAUUGCCGUGUCGCAGUAUUAUUGUAAAACUUGGGAAAAAAAACAGUAUUUUUGUAAGUUUCCCUUAAUAUUUUCGAAUCUGACCCCGGACCUAGACUUGGCCACAACCCGAAUUCGGCCACAACCCAUACCCAAACUUGGACCCGAACCAGGCCCCAGACUCGGACCCUAACCCCAACCCCAACCUCAGAGCCAGACUCGACCCCGACCCAAACCUGGACCUGGGCCCUAAACCUUGGAUCCCGGCCCUGGACGACAACCCAAACCCGAAUCCCAAACUCGGACUCGAAUCCUGACCCUGGACCAUGACUUCAAGCCCCUCAACCAAGACUCUAGACUCGAACCUAGACCUUGCACCUGCACCCGAACCUAGACCCUGGGCACAAACACUGGACAUUGGACCCUGGACCUAGACCCCAAACCCUGGACCCAGACCUUGAACCCGUACCUGGACCAUGACCGGACACGGACACUGACCUAAACCCUGAACACCGAACCCAGACCUGGACUCAAACCGAGAACUAGACCCGAACUCUAGACUCGUACCAUGACUCGGAUCCAAACCCGGCCUCGUAGCCGGACCCUGAACUCGAACCCUAACUUGUAUUGUGGACCCCAACACGGACCUUGACUCAGACACGAAACCAGACCCGAACCCCAAACCUGAACCUAGACAUGUAAAAGAAAUAGUUAUAAAAUACAUUUUUAAUUUUUAUUUUAUAAUUACAAAAAUAAAAGUAGUUAUCUAACACACUUUUAUUUUUUAUUUUUUUGUAAACUAAAAUUCCACUUUUAUUUUUGUGAUUACAAAAUUAAAAAUUAAAAUAUUUACCAAAGGUGGCCAAAGUAAAUUAUUAUUUUCUUAAUUGACAUUCAAUAGUAUAUUAUCUAUGUGUGGGAAGAUAAUUUUUGUCACUUAAAAAAGUAGUUUUGUAACUUAUUGAUAUAAAACUGUAAUUUAAUUUAAGUUUAAGUUUAUUAUUGUAUUUGUUACAAUAAUUAGUUAGUAAAGGUUUUGAGGAGAUUGAGAAGGAAUAAACAGAGGUAACAGAACAAUGGUUUUUUUUUUUAAAAUAAUAAAAAUAAGUUUGAUGGUUGUGAGAUUUAUAUUUCAGUAUUUUGGUAAUUUAAUAAAUGAUGUUUUAAUGUGAUCAAAUCUAUAUAUAAAACAAGUUAGUUAGAUAGGAAAAGAAAAGACUAGGUAGUAUUUAUUUAUUGACGUGAAAAUUGGGGAUAGGCUAUUUUUGGGUGUGGUGCUAUGCUAUAAUUAAAUCAUUUUCAGUCUUGUAUAAACUUAUAGUCACUAUAAACUAAAAUAAAAGCAUUGUUAUUAUUGGUGCAUAUCACCCACCAGGAGCUUUGCGAAUGAUUAGCAUAUUACUCUUAUAAUUAUUUGAAAGUGUUCAUCUCCUAAUCACUCUUACAAAAUUGCUUAGUAAUAUAGCUUCAUUGAGUUUCCAUUAGUCCUUGCAUCUUUUUCCACCAUUGCUUCUCGCGUUGCUACGACACGAAAAAACACAUUAUAGCGAAGAAGUUUCGUUGCAAAGGAGAAACAAUUCUUAUUCUUGAUAAAGAAUUAUC